rnacentral:misc_RNA from 1 species
GAAAUGCGAUAAGUAAUGUGAAUUGCAGAAUUCAGUGAAUCAUCGAAUCUUUGAACGCACCUUGCGCUCCUUGGUAUUCCUUGGAGCAUGCCUGUUUGAGUAUCAUGAAAUCUUCAAAGUAAAUCUUUUGUUAACUCAAUUGGUUUCUACUUUGGUAUUGGAGGUCUUUGCAGCUUCACACCUGCUCCUCUUUGUUCAUUAGCUGGAUCUCAGUGUUAUGCUUGGUUCCACUCGGCGUGAUAAGUUAUCUAUCGCUGAGGACACUGUAAAAGGUGGCCAAGGUAAAUGCAGAUGAACCGCUUCUAAUAGUCCAUUGACUUGGACAAUACUUUUAUUAUCUGAUCUCAAAUCAGGUAGGACUACCCGCUGAGCUUAAGC